rnacentral:rRNA from 1 species
GGGACCCCAGGUCAGGCGGGAACUCCCCG